UGGGGAAUCUUCCGCAAUGGACGAAAGUCUGACGGAGCAACGCCGCGUGAGUGAAGAAGGCCUUCGGGUUGUAAAGCUCUGUCUUUGGGGACGAACGUGGAUAUGGUGAAUAAUCAUAACUAAUGACGGUACUCGAGGAGGAAGCCACGGCUAACUACGUGCCAGCAGCCGCGGUAAUACGUAGGGGGCAAGCGUUGUCCGGAAUUAUUGGGCGUAAAGCGCGCGCAGGCGGCUUAUUAAGUCUGAUGUGAAAGCCCACGGCUCAACCGUGGAGGGCCAUUGGAAACUGGUAGGCUUGAGUGCAGGAGAGGAGAGCGGAAUUCCCGGUGUAGCGGUGAAAUGCGUAGAUAUCGGGAGCAACACCCGUGGCGAAGGCGGCUCUCUGGCCUGUAACUGACGCUGAGGCGCGAAAGCGUGGGGAGCAAACA
rnacentral:rRNA from 1 species